GGGCAGCGGCACCGCGCGGCUCCUGGGCUGCUGAGAUGGCGGCCGCCUCCCGAGGUGGAGAGAAGGCAGAUUUCUGCUCCCAGAGGUGGGAAAUGUCGCUCAGGACGCAAUGCGGCGUUAUAUGAUAAACCACAUAUGAUACACCUGAUGGGAUUCAUCAGACUUACUUGAGCUUGUCCAAAAAUGAAACAUCUGGUUGAAGAUAUUUUUUCAGCUUAUUCAGGGCUGAAAUGAAUCAUUGUCAAGAGGUACAUGCACCUCCAGCAGGUGAUUCAUCCCUUGCCAGGGUGCUGAGACUCUCUUGAGGAUAGUGUGCUGAUUGACCGCAAAGUCUGUAAAGGCAGGUACAAUAGAGACAAGUAAAUCAACCUCAGGUGUUCUUGGAAACAUUAUUUUGUAGAGGAGGAAAGCACCUCUUUGUUUUCUGCUUUGUAUUUCCAAUCCUGAUCUUCUGCCAGAGAAAGCACUCCUACCAGAAAUGCUGAUUCAUGAUGUUGAGAGAAGAUAGAAAUGACACAACUGAGGGGAAGAGGGAGAAGGAGUUCAGCUACACGUGUUGCUCCCCAGCCUCUAUCUCUGUCUGUUCAGCCUGUUCUCUGCUGCAUUCAGUAUCAGUAGGAUACAAGAGUGGCCAGAUGCUGGCCAAUGAGACUGUCUACAGAAAAGAUAAGUAGAUUAUACAUGAACCUACCAGUAUAUUUAUGACAGCUGUGUUACAUAUAGAUCUUUUGGAGACUAAAUUAUUACUACAGCUCUAGGGAUCAGUCACUCAGAAAAGGGACACUGCUGUUGCAGAAUGCUGUAGCUUUUGUAACAGGCUAUCAUUUGUCCCUUUAUAUUGAAACCCAUUUUUAGCCCACUUUAGAGUAGGAAAGCAGCUGUGGCAUUUGUGUGUUUUUUAUUGGCAGGCAGUUACUUCUUAAUGCUGAUGAGGUUAGAGGUUAAAAGCCAAAUAUCUGUUCAAUUCUAGCCAUCUAUUACAAAGCAGAAUUUAUAUACUGUGAAAUUUGGGUUGGCAGAAAU
rnacentral:lncRNA from 7 species